rnacentral:rRNA from 1 species
CCCAGACUCCUACGGGAGGCAGCAGUGAGGAAUAUUGGUCAAUGGGCGCGAGCCUGAACCAGCCAAGUCGCGUGAGGGAAGACGGUCCUAUGGAUUGUAAACCUCUUUUGUCAGGGAGCAAAGGGCGCCACGUGUGGCGUAUUGCGAGUACCUGAAGAAAAGGCAUCGGCUAACUCCGUGCCAGCAGCCGCGGUAAUACGGAGGAUGCGAGCGUUAUCCGGAUUUAUUGGGUUUAAAGGGUGCGCAGGCGGAAUGUCAAGUCAGCGGUAAAAUUUCGGGGCUCAACCCCGUCGUGCCGUUGAAACUGGCGUUCUUGAGUGAGCGAGAAGUAUGCGGAAUGCGUGGUGUAGCGGUGAAAUGCAUAGAUAUCACGCAGAACUCCGAUUGCGAAGGCAGCAUACCGGCGCUCAACUGACGCUCAUGCACGAAAGCGUGGGUAUCGAACAGGAUUAGAUACCCGUGUAGA